AGUGAACGCUGGCGGUAGGCCUAACACAUGCAAGUCGAACGGCAGCACAGUAAGAGCUUGCUCUUACGGGUGGCGAGUGGCGGACGGGUGAGGAAUACAUCGGAAUCUACUUUUUCGUGGGGGAUAACGUAGGGAAACUUACGCUAAUACCGCAUACGACCUACGGGUUAAAGCAGUGGAUCUUCGGACCUUUCGCGAUUGAAUGAGCCGAUGUCGGAUUAGCUAGUUGGCGGGGUAAAGGCCCACCAAGGCGACGAUCCGUAGCUGAUCUGAGAGGAUGAUCAGCCACACUGGAACUGAGACACGGUCCAGACUCCUACGGGAGGCAGCAGUGGGGAAUAUUGGACAAUGGGCGCAAGCCUGAUCCAGCAAUGCCGCGUGGGUGAAGAAGGCCUUCGGGUUGUAAAGCCCUUUUGUUGGGAAAGAAAAGCAGCAGGUUAAUACCCCGCUGUUCUGACGGUACCCAAAGAAUAAGCACCGGCUAACUUCGUG
rnacentral:rRNA from 1 species